AGGUUACUGUGUAGGAUGGUGUUCAAGGUUACUGUGUAGGCUGUGGUCAAGGUUACUGUGUAGGCUGUGGUCAA